rnacentral:rRNA from 1 species
CCUACGGGGGGCAGCAGUGGGGAAUAUUGCACAAUGGGGGAAACCCUGAUGCAGCGACGCCGCGUGAGUGAAGAAGUAUUUCGGUACGUAAAGCUCUAUCAGCAGGGAAGAAAAUGACGGUACCUGACUAAGAAGCCCCGGCUAACUACGUGCCAGCAGCCGCGGUAAUACGUAGGGGGCAAGCGUUAUCCGGAUUUACUGGGUGUAAAGGGAGCGUAGACGGCAGCGCAAGUCUGGAGUGAAAUCCCAUGGCUUAACCAUGGAACUGCUUUGGAAACUGUGCAGCUAGAGUGCAGGAGAGGUAAGCGGAAUUCCUAGUGUAGCGGUGAAAUGCGUAGAUAGUAGGAGGAACACCAGUGGCGAAGGCGGCUUACUGGACUGUAACUGACGUUGAGGCUCGAAAGCGUGGGGAGCAAACAGGAUUAGAUACCCCAGUAGUC